CAGUAGCCACGGUAAUACGUAGGUGGCAAGCGUUGUCCGGAAUUAUUGGGCGUAAAGCGCGCGCAGGUGGUUUAAUAAGUCUGAUGUGAAAGCCCACGGCUCAACCGUGGAGGGUCAUUGGAAACUGUUAAACUUGAGUGCAGGAGAGAAAAGUGGAAUCCCUAGUGUAGCGGUGAAAUGCGUAGAGAUUAGGAGGAACACCAGUGGCGAAGGCGACUCUCUGGUCUGUAACUGACGCUGAGGAGCGAAAGCGUGGGGAGCGAACAGGAUUAGAUACCCGUGUAGUCCCUGUCUCUUAUAA
rnacentral:rRNA from 1 species